GACGAACGCUGGCGGCGUGCUUAACACAUGCAAGUCGAACGGAAAGGCCCUGCUUUUGUGGGGUGCUCGAGUGGCGAACGGGUGAGUAACACGUGAGUAACCUGCCCUUGACCUUGGGAUAACUUCAGGAAACUGGGGCUAAUACCGGAUAGGAGCUCCUGCUGCAUGGUGGGGGUUGGAAAGUUUCGGCGGUUGGGGAUGGACUCGCGGCUUAUCAGCUUGUUGGUGGGGUAGUGGCUUACCAAGGCUUUGACGGGUAGCCGGCCUGAGAGGGUGACCGGCCACAUUGGGACUGAGAUACGGCCCAGACUCCUACGGGAGGCAGCAGUGGGGAAUAUUGCACAAUGGGCGGAAGCCUGAUGCAGCAACGCCGCGUGCGGGAUGACGGCCUUCGGGUUGUAAACCGCUUUCGCCUGUGACGAAGCGCGAGUGACGGUAAUGGGUAAAGAAGCACCGGCUAACUACGUG
rnacentral:rRNA from 1 species